AAUUUCAAUCUAUUUUAAUGGAGGGGCCACAUUAUCACUCCUGUUUCUCUCCGAUCCGAUUACGCAUUGUCGUCAUAUUUCAUAAAUAAUAUCCUAAGUAUUAGAUUUUAUAAUUUUGUGUCUAGAAUUGAUUAAAUAAAACUCUGUUCCUCUUCUUUUGGAUGGUUGAUAUUAAUGACAUUUUUCACUCUUGCGGCACCGCCAUUCUAUUUAUGCAUUUUUGAAAUAAACUUGUCAGGCGUUGCCAAAGCUUUCUUGUUUCAUGUUUUAUUAGUUUUGCAGGGAUAUUGCCGGGAUCUGGUGUUUUUCCGCUUUUUAACAAUUUGCAGAUUUUUAUGACUUUGUUUAUACUUAGUUAUUUUGAUUGAGGAUGCUAUUACUUGGACAUUCUGUUGCUGUUGCUACUCCUGAAAAUCUGGCUUAUUUUCUUUUAGUAGUUUUGAAAAGUAACUCACCGCUGAAGCGAAAUUAGCGCAUUAUAUCUUUUUUCUUAUCCAAUCAUAGUAAUUUUAUAAUUAUCCAGCUUUUCGUACUUUUCUGUCUUCCCAGGAAGGAAUUAAUCCUGUUACAUUUUGUUUCCCGUGCUUUGUUUUUUUUCUUGGCAAUCUUUUUUCUAACUCUUGCUUGGGCUUUGUAUUCUGUUUUAUCUUUAUUGAUUUUUGAGUUAAAAAAUACUCUACUUAUUUCUUUUUUCUGUAAUGUCCUUCUCGAUUUCUUCAUCCAAUUAAUAGGGUUUCACUUAUUGUUUUUUCUCUUGGUGCCCCAGUGCUUCUUCCAUUGUUUCAUGAAUGUGAAAUGAAUAAAAAUUUUAUAAGAAAUUUAAAAAAAUUUAAAAUUUUUUAGGAAUAAACUACGAAUUUUCUAUAAAUUUUGAAUAAAUUUGGUAUGAAUUCUGCAUAAAUUUUGCAUGAAAUUUGUAUUUUUUUUUUAAUUUGUAUAUUAACUUUUACUAUGUGUAUAAUGUUAACAUAUUGUGUUAACAAAUCAGAUAAACUGCGAUUUAUGAAGUUUUUUUUAAGACAGAUAUUAGUUGUCCCAAAAAAUGAUCAAUAAAAUAAAUUUUUUGUUCACGAUAGUUACUCGGCAUUCGUACACAAGCAAAGUUUGGACUGAGACGUGACGUAAGCUGGACGGUCCAUAAGCAUUUAGGUCGCUUACUGCUGUCAGCUGAGGCGAACGUAAUAUCGAUAGAUGUGUAAUGACCACUAUAUCGAGAUUAUUUAACUGUCAUAAACUAUUUCAUUUCUUAAUUAAAUAUUUGUUUAAUAAAUUAAUAAAAUUUGACUGCGCGUAAUAAUUACCUUUAGAUACUAUUUUUCCACAUACAUAUAUCUAUGUGUUAUAUGUAUAUUAAGAACAGUUUCAACUCCGCUAUAGAUUUACAUUUAAGAAAAAAUUGUUUCAUUAAUAAAACUGUCUACUUACUUAUAUUAAGUACUAAAUACUAAAUAAAAAAUACUCCAUACAAAAUACUAAAUUCUUAACAGGUUUUACAAUCUGUUGUAAUUAGGGUUGCCAUUUGCCUUUUUUUCCCGGACACUGUCUUCUUUUUUAGGGCAUUCGAAAACGUUCAGAGGGAUUUUUCAAAGCAUUGAAAAUUUGUCCGGGAGAAUUAUGUGCGUCUGGGGUUUUAAAUAUUUUAAUUAUUUAUUUCCUUUACCAUGCUUUUUUACAAUGACACCACUUAUUGAGCGGCUGAGUAACAAUUAAAUAUAAUAAAAUUAAAAUACUUAAUAGACUUACAAGAGUAUACUCUUGAGGCGAAGACAAAAUCUUUUCAUUGGAAAAAAUAAUCCAUUAUCGAAAGGUGGUUUGUUUCUUCCACCUUUCGGAUCUGGUAGUGCUUUUUGUUGAAAAUUAUAAGUUAUGUUCUAAUUUCUUAAUACGUUAGUCCAUGAUUCUCGACUUAUUUUUAGCCAUCGAAUGGCUGUUUUACACUUCGUUUUCUUUUACUAAAUAUAAUUUGACAAAAUGGUUUCUAUAUUCUAUUAAAAAUGACUCAAUAAUUAAUCAUUAUCUAAAUCAAUAAAUUUAAAUAUUUUUAGAUGUACUCGUAUUAAUAGGCACAUUUUUAUUAUUGUCCGUAGAAUCUAAAUUUAUCAGGUAAUUUAUCAGUUAAUUUUACUCUUAUAUUUUUUUUAUUUGGACUAUUUGCAAACGGCUCGUAUGCAUAUGUAGUCUAUAAUAUAUUUUUCAAAAUAAACAUUAUUUCAUUACUCGUAUUAAUUUUAAUUAUUAAAUUUUAAAACUAAGUAGAUAAAUUUUACCUCAAUCUCAGUUGGAAAUAAUUUGUAUAUUUUCUUAGAUACAAUGUGAAACUCUUCAAAAACAGCGCUACAAAAAUGUUAUAAAGAUAAAGAUAAGAUUGUCUAUCCGAUCUGCAACAAAUGUUACUGUUGCAUAAUAUUUUUUUAUUGAAUUUAAUAUUUUCAGCUUAUUGUGAAAUACGCGCCACUUUUUUCAGUCUUGAAAUACAGUUACUAGCUAGAUACUGGUACUCAAAAGCAUCUAUAAGAUUUCUUCCGCAAAAGCUAUAUAUAUAAGUUAUUGGGAAAAUAAUACAUAUCUUAGCCAGGAUUGACCACGCUGGCUGAGAUAUUAUUUUUUGCAAAAGCUGUAUAUAAAUUAUUGGGAAAAUAAUACAUACCUUAGCCAGGACUGACCACCCUGGCUGAGGAAUUAUUUAUCGCAAUAAAUUAUUCGCGGUAAUUCGGAAAAGAGGGAAAACCUUAUAGAUGCAUACAGAUUACAGCAUCGAGUUAGUUUAGUGCAUCAUAGUAUCUAGUUAGUAACUAUUUCAAAACUGAUAAAUGUGUCAGUGCGGUUUAUAUCGCUACAAAUAUUAAAUUUACAAAAAAUUAUUAUUUAGCACCAAAUUCUUUUGUUGUAGAUCAAAUAAUGUAAUAAUGUAAUUUAAAAAAAUGCUGUUAUUAUGUAAGGUUGUUCACGGUGUUUAGUUUAACGAUUGUGUGUUCUAAUAUUUUUACUUUUUUUAGUUUAAGUAUUUUUACUUCUUUAUAUUUGAUUGAUUUUUUAUAACUAUGGCUGUUUCUCCCUCUAUGUGUGUGUCAUUUUUGUCGUUUCUUAUUAUAAUUUUUGAAAGUUAUUACGUGUUUAACGUAUAAUAUUAAGCUAUUUAGCAACUACAAAAAAAAACGCAUAUACAUUGAACAAAUAAAAAAAAUUAUUAAUAUAGGAAUUAUUUGCUAAUUAUGUGCUAUCUUUUAAUGACCAAAUUUUUUUUUGUUUUAACCAAAAAAAGUUACCAAUGGUAACUUUUGGGGGCAAACAAAUUUUUUUUAUUACCAAAGGCUAGCAAAUAAUUAGCAAAUAAUUUCUAUAUUAAUGAUUUUUUAAUUUGAUUAAAAUAUAUGGGUUUUUUCUCUAUUGGCUAGAUAGCUUAAUAUUAAGCUAUAAUCUAGCCACUGGUAUUUUUUUGGCUAAAGCAAAAAAAAUUUUUUUUUUAGCAAACAGUAACAAAUAAUUAGUAAAUAAUUCCAGUGUAGAAAUCGAUGUGUUCUGAUGAUGUGGCUCAGCCAGCUUAAUAUACCUUAAAACAUUCCAUCUUUACGGUUCUCAGGCAUAUUAUCUCUACAUAUCAUGAUAACAGAUAAAGUGACGUUAUAGUAGCGGGUCACUGCCAGUCACUAUGCGUUUACUUUACCGUGUUAGAUUCUUUUUUCUUUUUACACAUCAAGUCAGUACGUUAAAUUCCCUUUGCGUGUAGUUCGGGUUGAUAAUCGAUAAACGAGAGUGAUUAAUAAAAACAAUCGUUAUUUUCGUGCAUGGAUAUGAAAUGGAUGAUAAGCGCAUAAAUAUUUUCGCAAAUGUAUACAUUAUACAUUUAUACAUAUUGUACCAUGCUCCAAAAAAUAAAAAAGGUUCUUAUAAAUCUUAAAAAUUCCCCUACUUGUGUUACAUUUAAUUGUAUAAAUUAUAUGAAUUAUAUAAAAAAAUUACAAAUUAUAUAAAUUACGUAAAAAAUAUAUUGUAACUUCAGAUAAAAUGCAUCCAGAAAAAUUAUAUAUCGACUCACAAUUGUUGCUUAUGCCAAAAUACACAAUAAAAAUGUUUUAGGCUCUAAAAAUUUUUUCUGCCUUAAAGUUUCUAAAUUUAUUGUAGUUUUCGUAAUCUCGCCCAAAAUUUUUAUUAAGAAAGAAAUUUUUACUCGGAUUUUCUUUUGAUUGUAGAAUGGAUGUGAACUCAUUGAUCCCGGCGGAACUUCAAGGAUUGCAAUUAAAUGCAUGCGAAGUUCAAGCGGAUACAAUAAGAUGUCCGAAAAUUUGCGAAGAUUCACCCCGCAGGCUUUAUAUAGACAGUGCGUCAUUUUUUGCGGUGAGUCCAGAUGCAAGUAUGAGAAUCCGGCUGUCCACAUGGCAAUACAGAACAUCUUUUCGCAUUGGUGAGCACACAGACAUUUAUUAAAUUUUAUCAAAAUUUUAAAACAGUAAGCAUUAAAAAUAAGUAUUAAAGUAUUAAAAAUACUUACAUUAGUUUGCAAUAUUUAUUAAUUACUGUAAAUUUAUCUGAUUAUUCAGUUAUCAAGAAUAAUUUUAAAAAAUGUUGAUUGCUUUUUAAAUAUAUUUUUGCUAUAAUAUCAAAUUAGAUAUAGAAAGGUAUAACUUGUAGUUUAAUAAUUUUUAAAAAUCUAUAUUUAUCUUUAAUAACUUUCUUAUUAAUGGAUAAAUUAAAGCAAUAUAUUAAUAUUUUAUGUAUUCAUGUUUCAAAAAUCGAAAUCGUUUUCGCUAUCGUGUAAUACAUUGCAAAUAAUGUAACGUUUGAAAAAAUUACUUAUUCAAAUCAUUCUUACUGUAUCGUAUUUUACAUUUACAUGAUUAUAUAUAAAUUAUAAAAUAAUGAAAAAAUGAAAAAAUGAAACGGCAAAGACCAUCAGUUAGAUCGAAGUGUUUUACAAUAUAGUAUACAAUGCAGUAAACGCGUAUAUCUGUAGAGAGAGGAAGAAAAGUUUCAAAAUAAUUUGCUGCCACUCUUAUUAUUUCUUGAUAGAAAAGUUUUAAACUCGAGCUGUCUCAAUUACAAUUACGUGAAAAUUUGUGUUUAUUCCGGUGAUAUUGUAAUUCCGGAAUGUAGCAGUAGCAGCAAGAGCAGCGACAGCAAUGGGUUGUUUUGGCGAACUGAUUGGAAAGGAAGAACAUUCGUCAAAUUACGACGCGCGGCAGGAGAUCAAUCUCUGUCAUAUCGUUUCGGCAUGAAUUCGAUCCAGACGAUACGAUGAACGAGUUGCAUCUGCGGGCUACUUGGCACAGUUUACCGAUAUCUGGGUCAAAGUCACGUCCUCGGUGAGAAGGUACUUAGCCCGAAGCACUAUUCCGCCCGUGCCUUUGGAUCUGAUCACCUCCAGGCCGAGUUUGGCCAAGAUGAGUGAGACUUUAUUUAUGGAUUCACGUCGUCUCCAAAAUAAACAAUCUUUUUCCGUCGACGAAGGUAAUUGAAGCACAUCGAGAGACUACGCAUCGUACAUAAUUUGCAAAAUUCUAUUUUUUAAUUAAGUCUAUUUUUUAAUUAUAUUUUUUGAUCUACUUUUUACUUAGAAAAAAAUUUGCAAGUAUAUCUAAAAUCCUUUAAUUUCAAAAGUGAAAAUAUACCUUAGACAUUAUUUGAUAAGCCUUAGUUGUCAAAUAUUACUUACUUAUUUGCAUCUUUAGUAAAAUAAAUUUUCACAUUUUAUAAUAUUUUUAAGAAUUUUUUACAAUUUAAAUUAAUAAAAUAUAAAGAAUUAUAAAAACUAUCUUAAUCCUUUUCAGAUUUUAUAAGUUUUUAUCGAAAAUUAUAGAAUAAAAAAUUUUCCGGAAUGCACAUACAUAUAUGAAAAAUUUUAGAAAAAGUAAUAGGCUUUUGCAGCGGUUUGAAAUGUUAAUAAUUCAUAUAAAACAUUUGAAAAACUUAAUAGAAAAGUUAUAAAACUUAUAUAAAGGUUUUGAAAAAUACGAAAAUUUAUAAGAAAACAUUAUGUACUUAAGAUUAGUUGAUCAAAUAUGCGCUUGUAUUUUAGUUCUCUUAUUAUAACCAAAACUGUAAAAAGGAAAUUGCUUAUGAUUUGUGCUUAAUAAAGAUUUUAAACAUUUAGACAAUUAAUUUCAGAUAUUUUGAAUAACUCAUUUUUUAAUACUGAUUUUAAUUUUUUUAGUUUAAGUUGUGAAUACAACACACGAAUAAAUGAAUGUAGUUUACUAUUAUCAAAGGUCUCAUAAUUUUCAAAAUUUAUUGUCAAGUCACGUCGCCAAACUUGUUCACUAAUAGUGCAAGUGUUCCGGUUCUCACACACUUAUGACCCUGGUCAAGUCCUUGCUUCUCACAUUAAUUUGCGGUACUUCUUCUCAAUGUGGG